GACGAACGCUGGCGGCGUGCCUAAUACAUGCAGGUAGAACGCACAGUUUAUACCGUAGCUUGCUACACCAUAAACUGUGAGUUGCGAACGGGUGAGUAACUCGUAGGUAACCUGCCUGGUAGCGGGGGAUAACUAUUGGAAACGAUAGCUAAUACCGCAUAAUAUUAAUUAUUGCAUGAUAAUUGAUUGAAAGAUGCAAUUGCAUCACUACCAGAUGGACCUGCGUUGUAUUAGCUAGUAGGUGAGGUAACGGCUCACCUAGGCGACGAUACAUAGCCGAACUGAGGGGGUGAAAGGCCACACUGGGACUGAGACACGGCCCAGACUCCUACGGGAGGCAGCAGUAGGGAAUCUUCGGCAAUGGACGAAAGUCUGACCGAGCAACGCCGCGUGAGUGAAGAAGGGUUUCGGAUCGUAAAGCUCUGUUGUAAGAGAAGAACGGGUGUGAGAGUGGAAAGUUCACACUGUGACGGUAUCUUACCAGAAAGGGACGGAUAACUACGUG
rnacentral:rRNA from 1 species